rnacentral:ncRNA from 1 species
GUCAUGUUUGUGCCUCCUAGAUCUUAGCCCAAGUUUCUCUGAGACAAGAGACUCUUCAAGGGUACAAGUAACACUGUCACUUCUCUUUUUAUUUAUUUACUUAAAAAGUUUUUUUUCAUGUAAAUUACCUAUUUGGUCCCUAACUUUUAUGCUAACUGUGAAAUUGGUCCUCUAACCUUUCAAACAUGUAUUUUAAUGUGAUGAGCACCAUGCCGUGCGCCCCCCUUUUUCAGAUGAUCAGCCACACUAGGAAUGAGACAUGGCCAGGACUCCCACGGGGUGCAGCAGUGGGGAAUCUUGGACAAUGGGCGAAACCCCAAUCCGGCAAUAUCGUGUGAGUGAAGAAUGGCAAUGCCGCUUGUAAAGCUCUUUCAUCGAGUGCACGAUCAUGACAAGACUCGAGGAAGAAGCCCCAACAAACUCCGUGCCAGCAGCCGCGGUAAAACUAGAGGGGGGAGGGGAGCAAGUGUUCUUCAAAAUGACUGGGCGUAAAAGGCACGUAUGUGAUGAAUCAGGUUGAAAGUGAAAGUGCCAAAAACUGGUGGAAUGCUCUCGAAACCAAUUCACUUGAGUGAGACAGAGAAGAGUGGAACUGCGUGUGUAGGGGUGAAAUUUGGAGAUCUACGAAGGAACGCCAAAAGCGAAGGCAGCUCUCUAGGUCCCUGCCGAUGCUGGAGUGAGAAAGCAUAGGGAGCGAACGGGAUUAGAUACCCUGGUAGUCCAUGUCGUAAACGAUGAGUGUUCGCCCAUGGUCUACACGGAUUAGGGGCCAACUAAUGCGUGAAACACUUUGCCUAGGGAGUACGGUCACAAGACUGAAACUCAAAGGAAUUGACGGGGGCUUGCAUAAGCGAUGGAGCAUGUGGUUUAAUUCGAUACAAAGCACAAAACCUUACCAGCCCUUGACAUAUGAACAACAAGACCUAUCCUUAACGGGAUGGUACUUACUUUCAUACAGGUGUUGCAUGGCUGUCGUCAACUCGUGUCGUGAGAUGUUUGGUCAAGUCCUAUAACGAGCGAAACCCUCGUUUUGUGUUGCUAAGACAUGUGCCUAAUGGGAAAGUCUUUGCAACCAAAGUGAGCCAUGAAGCCAAGUGACGUGUCAGCGCUACUAAUUAAGUGCCAGCACGUAGCUGUGUUGUCAAUAAGAAGGGAGCCAGCGCCUUUCAAAACAUUUUCUAGUGUGUGUUUUAGAAAGAUUGUAGCUAGCGCACUUUACUAAUAACACAAAAAAUGCUUUUCUCACUUGUCUAGUAAAGUCAAGUUUUUGGCCUUAUCUUACAGGUGACGACGACGUCGAGUUGGCAAUGGAGAAAGACUCGGCAUUUAGGCGAGCAACCCGGUGGUGUGGUAAUAGUGGGUUUAGUACGCCUUGCGAAACGGCUCCGAAACAAACAAAAAGGUGCGUGCCGCACUUACGAGGGACUACUAGUGAUAUAUUGGAGGAAGGUAGGGAUGACGUCAAGUCCACAUAACCCUUAUAGGCUGGGCCACACACGUGCUACAAUGGCAAUUACAAUGGGAAGCAAGGCUGUAAGGCAAAGCAAAUCUGGAAAGAUUGCCUCCAUUCAGAUUGUUCUCUACAACUCGGGAACACGAAGUUGGAAUCGCUAGUAAUUGUGGAUCAACAUGUCGCGGUGAAUAUGUACCCAGGCCUUGUACACACUACCCAUCACACCCUGCGAAUUGGUUUUGCUCGAAGCAUCAGACCAAUGAUCACCCAUGACUUCUAUGUACCACUAGUGCCAUAAAGGUUUUUGGUGGUCUUAUUGGGGCAUACCACAGUGGGGUAUUCGACUAGGGUGAAGUCGUAACAAGGUAGUCGUAGGGGAACCUGUGGCUG